rnacentral:lncRNA from 1 species
AUCUCAUAAAUUCAAUUUCUCCAUCUAGUGGCCUUCCCCUCACCCAGGCCCUCCCCACCUCCCUCCUGGACCACAACAGCAGCUCUAAAAGGCUUCCCAGCUCUGGCUAUUUCACAGUCCAGAGGCACCCACAUGCUGAUCCCCGCAAGGCCUCUUCAGGAUGGGGACUCUAGCCACUCAAAUUCUUCCAUUGCUCCCCAGUAACUUAAGUUUAAAUCAUUUAGUCACGUGCCAUUCAAGGCCCUCUGGGUUCUGGCCUCCAAGGACCUUUGCUACCUGAUCUUCUCCUUAGUGGUUUACACACAUCAUUGCCCAGCAACUACAAAUCGAUUCCUGCCCACUCUGCACCCCGGCAUUUCCCAUCCCUACCUAUGCCUUUGCUCAUGUUUCCUUCAAUGAGGAUACUCCAAGACCUCAAGUCCAACAUUACCUUUCUUUCAAUGUCUGGCUCAAAGGCUCUUUAUCCAUGAAACAUUUCUUGAUCAUCCCAGCCACAGAUAAACACACAACCUUUCUUUUCUAUGAACUUGUGGUAUGUUUAUCUCUCUACCUUUUAUACAUUUCUCUUUCUCUCUGCAUUUAUUCUUUGUUUUUCUUUUUUCUAAGACAUCUUGUUAUAGCAUCUCUGCAUUUAUUCUAAUUUUAUCUGUGCACAGAACCUUAGCUUCAAGCUCCUUGAAGGGUAGCAUCGUGUCCCAGCCUACACUGUCACACUCAGGAGAAGCACCCAGUAGAUGGUGGCUCUGUAUCUACCUACAAAGUGCCACUGAGGAGCACAGGCCUUCAGGUCUGUAGCCCAUCAGCUGAGCCUUCGCAUCAGCUCCUAGAACAGUGCCUGGCAUAGAGCAACACCCAGAAAUCAUUGUUAAAUGAAAUUAUCCACAAGGGAGUCACCUAGUGUCUACAUGAUAGAAAUUCUUUCCCUGUAGAAUAUAACAUGAAAGGGGGUGUGAAGAAGCCUUCUCUCUCCCCAUGUUUCCAGAUGCAAGAAAGCUUCACGUUAACUGUCUCCCACAAGCUAUAUAGCUACUCUCGGCAAUAUGACAUAUAAUACUUUGGUGCAUUUGGUGUGUCAAAAAUAUUCAAUUUUAACAUGUCAGAAAGAAUCAUUUUUCAAAAACAGUCUCCUUUGGAGAAGAGAGUUAUUCAAACAAUAUCCAAAACCUUUUUGGAUCUCACAUUUUGAAGAGGUCCAACUUCCGUUGGUUAAAAAAAAAGUCUAUUAUAUAAUGAAAGCCUUACAACUGACUGAGAGUUAUAGAAUUUCAGAAAUAAAUCCCAGUCUGUUCAUCCUUAAAAUAAGAAGCUAUUUUUCAGGGCUUUCAUGUCCAAAAUUAUAUUAUGUAAGCCACUUCAUAAAUCAUGUACACAACAAUUCUCAUUUUUCCAUUAAAUCUCUAUUUUGAAAUUUAAUUCACUCAUCCAUUUUUUCAGAGAUGGGAUCUUGUUCUGUCGCUCAGGCUAGAGUGCAGUGGUGUGAUCAUAGCUCACUAUAGCCUUCAACUCCAGGGCUCAAGGGAUCCUCCUGCCUCAGCCUCCCAAGUAGCUAGGACUAUAGAUGCAUGCCACCAUGUGUGGCUUAUUUUUUUAUUUUAUUUUAUUUUUUUGUAGAGAUGGGGAUCUAUGUUGCCCAGGCUGGUCUUGAACUCCUGGCCUCAAGUGAUCCUCCCACCUCAGCCUCCUAAAGUGCUGGGAUCACAGGUAUGAGCCACCGUGUGCCCUGUCUUUUUAUUUUGACCCCCUCUUGGCUCUAACAGCACACGUGUACCUCUGUUACAGGACAUCAGUCUACAGUGCUACCUCUUUUUAUAGUCAUUUAUCUCACUAACCUGUGUCUUUCUGAAGUGCCAGACCCAUGUUCACUUUUGAAUCUACAGUACCUUCUACUGAAAUGUAGUAGCUGGCUCAGUCCAUGUUUAUAACAUGAAACAAUGACUUGAAUCAGUGGUUUGAUCACCUGCCAUAUUCAUGAGACCUAACUAUUGGCUCCCUCCUACCCUCAAAGGACAGAGAUUUCCCGCCGCUGUGGAUAGUCAAAAGAAGAUAGAAAGUUCUUAAGUGCUUCAUUUAAUGUGUUUAUUUAGUCCCCUUGAAAUAAAUACUGAUGGGUAAAACCAAAUUAAUUUAAAUCACAUGCUAAAAAGGAUAGCCAGUCAAGUACCUAGCUGAGUAUCUAAAAUUAGUACACACACACACCAAAAACAAAAACAAAAGCAUGGAAAAAGCCAAAAAGCCCUGCCUGUUCAGCCCUGUGUACCCUUCACUGACUAGGAAGUGACCCACUUUUCAGGUAUCAUCCAAUCAUACAAACUGGGCAUCAGUGUCGUCAGAAGCCCACACAUGUUCAUCUCAAGACUCAACAACAUAAACACGUCUAUGUUUCCAAGAAAGCUCAUUGCAAGUUGGUGACAAAUUUGAAAAAAAAAAAAAAGCUCUAAAUAAAAUUACAGACAUGACUUUCACAUUUGAGCUCUCCAAAUAUAUUGUUAUGGGUUUAAGAAAUACCACACUUCUGUGUCACAAAGAGAGUUCUAAAAACCAGUAUGUUCUGAGAAGUCCAUACCUGCUACUUGGGAACUAAACAAGGCUUGUAACAACUGAAUCUCUUUAGAAGACUGUUAACACCUUGCUUAAGUGUGUAAAAAUUGAAAAUAAACAUAACUGAAGAUUUGAGAAUUUUUCAGUUAUAACACAGUUCUUAUGAAAGAUGGAAAAUAUUUCAUAUUCUCUUAUAUAUUUAUAAAAACAGCAGAUAUUUCUUCUAUUUACAGAGGUGGAAAUGAAGGCAAGCAAAUGCAGUCAUUUUGUUGGAGGACUAUUCUACAUUUCCAAAGCAAUGAAGACAUGACCCCAAACUAAAUUCUCCUGCAACGUAUUCUUACAAGAAAAAGGCUAAAAGCCUUAUUGCUUAACAAAAGCUAAACAAUGUGAAUUAUUUCAAUAACUGGUCCAAAAAGCUGCAGCAGGCCACUGAGUAACUUGGACAUCUGUUGCCAUGCUUGUUCAUGCUUUCCCCUGAGAUGACAUAUAUGUAUCAUCAUUAAUAGGUGUCCUUGAUUUUGAUAAGAAUAAUAUUCCUGUACAUCCCCACAUCUCCUGUACAUAGCCAUGUGCUGCCAUCUUCUGAUUAUGCCCAGUGGAGUGUAAACAUUUUUUCAUGAAAAAGCAAAAUCAAUAAAAGUAAAACUCCCCA